rnacentral:rRNA from 1 species
AUUGAACGCUGGCGGCAGGCCUAACACAUGCAAGUCGAGCGAGCGGCGGACGGGUGAGUAAUGUAUGGGGACUGCCCGAUAGAGGGGGAUAACUACUGGAAACGGUGGCUAAUACCGCAUACUAUCGGAUAACCCAUAUGGGAUUAGCUAGUAGGUGGGGUAAAGGGUCACCUAGGCGAAUAUCUCUAGCUGGUCUGAGAGGAUGAUCAGCCACACUUGGAAUGGGAAACGGCCCAGACUCCAAGGGGGGCAGCAGUGGGGAAUAUUGCAAAAUGGGCGCAAGGCCGAUGCAGGCAUGCCUGGUGUAUGAAGAAGGCCUUAGGGUUGGAAAGUACUUUCAGCGGGGAGGCGUUACCCGCAGAAGAAGCACCGGCUAACUCCGUGCCAGCAGCCGCGGUAAUUC